GAUGAACGCUGGCGGCGUGCCUAAUACAUGCAAGUCGAGCGAACAGACGAGGAGCUUGCUCCUCUGACGUUAGCGGCGGACGGGUGAGUAACACGUGGAUAACCUACCUAUAAGACUGGGAUAACUUCGGGAAACCGGAGCUAAUACCGGAUAAUAUAUUGAACCGCAUGGUUCAAUAGUGAAAGACGGUUUUGCUGUCACUUAUAGAUGGAUCCGCGCCGCAUUAGCUAGUUGGUAAGGUAACGGCUUACCAAGGCGACGAUGCGUACCCGACCUGGGAGGGGAUUCGGCCACACUGAAACUGGGAGGCGGUCCGGCCCCCUAGGGAAGGCACCAGUGGGAAUUCUUCGGAAAUGGGCGAAGGCUUGACGAAGCAACGCGGGUGGGGGGAUGAAGGUCUUCGGUUCGUAAACCUCUGUUAUUGGGGAAAAACAAAUGUGAAAGUAACUAUGCACGUUUGAACGGAACCUAUUAAGAAGGCAAGGCCAAAUUCGGU
rnacentral:rRNA from 1 species